rnacentral:lncRNA from 1 species
GAAGAAAGACAAGGAGGAACAUAGAAUGAAAAGCAGAUUAAAAUGAAGGGUACGUGCUGAAGGCUGGUUGGUCCACACGAUCAGACCCAGCUGGAUGUCUUAUACCUCCUCUUCUUUGUCAGUAGACUCCUGAAUUAUUAAGUUCAAUAAGAAAGGAAAGGGAUGGAAAGGAUUCGGAGUGUCUUAUUUCAGGUGUAAACCUUUAUGAUGUCUUCGUAUAUUCCUGUACCGCGUGCAAGCAUUGGAGGUUUGUGGCUGGAAAUCCUUCAAAGGUGACAAUGUACAGAAGAGUUGAUAUGAAUCAAGACUGGAUGAAUGAAGCCAUUGGUAGGUACGGUUUAUGCUCCAAUCAGAGGAUUUUGCCAGAGCAGCCUCAUGGUUUGGGCCACCUCCUUUCCUUAUUUUGCAUCACUUUCUUGGCUGACUAUGGUCCAAUAGGAAGUGGAGUAGGGAGGAGAGAAGAAAGAGCCAGGUACUUUGAGAGAAAGGAUAGAAGUUUGGAAUGCCUUGUACUGUGUGUAUUCCCACAUUUCUGAGCUCUACAGAAUUAAGGUGUUCUGUUUAAGUUAAUGGUGUUUGGAUAUUUGCAAGGUGGCUUUGGGGUACUAAUGAUCUCCAAAUAAAUACCACUCAUAUAAUGUUUAGAGUCUAUUUUAACCAUUUUCUUUUCUUAAUUAAAAGGAAGACACCUGAAUUUAGUCUGAGGUUUUUCUGGAAGUUUCUAAACAUAGGGACCUGUUUCUUUUUUUCUUUUUUUGU